GGUCAGAUUUCACCUUCAUCUAUGUAUGACAACCAAUCUAAUGUAAGUUUUAUAUAAUGAGAUGGUAGAUUUCACUAAGACCAAUUUUUCUUUUCAGAUAGAAUAUUCAUCUAAACCAAUGGUCCCUAUUCGGGUAUGAAGAAUUUAGAUGUAUGGAAAACAGGAAUCUCUUACAAUUAAUUGAUCCUAUUCGGUUAGAAAUUAAAUAGAUCAUACACUAUUUAUAUAGGGUCCUUCCUCAAGUAGCCUAGUCUUAAUGUGAUAUACAAUACUCUUUUUAAAAAUCAAUUAUGCAUUCAAAAGAGAAAUUAAUUCUAGCUUCUCUGUUUAAACAUCACUAGAACAAUCAAGCAAUCAAAUAUGCGCAUAGUAUUGAGAUCAAUUAUUGCAUAACCUUAUUAAAAUAAAAUUAAUGCAUUGAAUUAAAAAGAAAUCAUAACACAGGUUCAAGAUCCAUCAAUCCCUAACAAAAGGGUCUACCUCAUCCUAGAGAUGGUAGAACAUGAGAAAAGAAGAAAAUACAUAAUGAAAACUUAAAGAACAAUAAUAAAGAUCAAACUCUGGUUGUAGGUGCAUAAUCUAGCUUCAAUCUAUAGAAAUCUUAUCCAUUUUGCUCCCAAUUGUGUGGCUAGAGUGGCUAGAGACCUCUUCUUAGACUCUCCCUUCAAAGUCUUUCCCCCAUUGAUUUUCCUCUUCUUUCCUCCUUAAAUAAGGUAGUCUCUGCCUUUGUCUGUGAUCGACCUCUUGGACAGAUUUUGAUCUAUGAAAACAUACUUCCAAAUCCAAUAGAUUUGCAAUUUCUUUCCAACCCAAAUAGGAGUCUUUCUCACCAAAAAUACAUCCAAUCAUCCUGUUCUUUCACUUUCUUUCUCAACCAAAAGGGACUUACAC
rnacentral:misc_RNA from 1 species